UACGUAGGGGGCAAGCGUUGUCCGGAAUCAUUGGGCGUAAAGAGCGUGUAGGCGGUCCGGUAAGUCGGCUGUGAAAGUCCAGGGCUCAACCCUGGGAUGCCGGUCGAUACUGCCGGACUAGAGUUCGGAAGAGGCGAGUGGAAGUUCCCGGUGUAGCGGUGAAAUGCGCAGAUAUCGGGAGGAACACCUAUGGCGAAGGCAGCUCGCUGGGACGUUACUGACGCUGGAGACGGCGAAAGCGUGGGGAGCAAACAGG
rnacentral:rRNA from 1 species